GGGUGCACGGUGGCGUAGUGGUUAGCACGUUUGCCUCGCACCUCAGAGGUUGGGUGUUCGAUCCUGCCUGUACCUG